rnacentral:rRNA from 1 species
AGAACGAACGCUGGCGGCAGGCCUCAAACAUGCAAGUCUAGGGGAUGUAGCAAUACAUCACCGGCGGACGGGUGCGUAACACGUGGGAAUAUACCUUUCGGUACGGAACAACUGCGGGAAACUGCAGCUAAUACCGUAUACGUCCUUACGGAGAAAGAUUUAUCGCCGAAGGAUUAGCCCGCGUUCGAUUAGCUAGUUGGUGAGGUAAUGGCUCACCAAGGCGACGAUCGAUAGCUGUUCUGAGAGGAAGAUCAGCCACACUGGGACUGAGACACGGCCCAGACUCCUACGGGAGGCAGCAGUUGGGAAUCUUGGACAAUGGGGGAAACCCUGGAUCCAGCCAUGCCGCGUGAGUGAUGAAGGCCUUCGGGUUGUAAGCUCUUUUACCCGGGAAGUAUAAUGACUGUACCGGGAGAAUAAGCUCCGGCUAACUUCGUGCCAGCAGCCGC